rnacentral:rRNA from 1 species
UACGAAGGGGGCUAGCGUUGCUCGGAAUCACUGGGCGUAAAGGGUGCGUAGGCGGGUCUUUAAGUCAGGGGUGAAAUCCUGGAGCUCAACUCCAGAACUGCCUUUGAUACUGAGGAUCUUGAGUUCGGGAGAGGUGAGUGGAACUGCGAGUGUAGAGGUGAAAUUCGUAGAUAUUCGCAAGAACACCAGUGGCGAAGGCGGCUCACUGGCCCGUAACUGACGCUGAGGUGCGAAAGCGUGGGGAGCAAACAGGG